GCUGUAAUUUGCAAACAUAUAUCCAGGAACCUACUCUCAGCCGAAAGGACAUGACUUUUCCAUGCUUGCCAGUAGCCAGGAUGGCGUUGCACUGAGACAGCCACGCUUUUGAUCAGCCUUGUGACAAUUAGCAACAUAGAUUAGAUGAUUGAUUGGACAUCAACAGAAUAAUCUGUGAUUAUGAAAUAAAUUCUCUUUGGAAAGUAAGAAAGUCUUUCCUAAAUUCAAAUGAUCAUUCUUAUUUUAGCUCCUUCUUUUAAAAGUCUGAGACAACUGAACGAAACUCAGCUUUCAAAAAGCCAAGGACGUCUUUGAAAUUUCAUUCUACAUUCCUGGAUUACUGAUGCUGCCUCUCUAUCAGAGCUCUUUAUCCUUCCUUCCCUUUUUGCAGACUUCAAAUCAGCCUCAGUUUUCUUCAAUUAUCCUUUUGCCUCUCCUUGCCUAGAAGAAACUCCGAAAAUUUUUUGCAUAUUUGAUGGAUAAGAUGGAAAGGACGGUAGGUGAGGAAAUACAGCAGCUAAGAUGACAAGCCAGCUCUCCACUGACCACACAGGCACAUCUCUAGCAAGGGACAGGAAGACAGAAGAAUGAAUGCAACAGGACCGCUAAGAAGUAAAGACAGUCUUCAGCUAUGCAAGAAUAGCAGCUAGAAAUAGACAAACUGAAGAAGAGUUUAUGGAAGGAGGAGCUGUUUUGUCCAGAGAGCAGCCUGGUAGUUUUCCGUUUUCAAAUGCUUGGCUUUCAGGGCUCUGAUGUUUCCCUGCACAGUUGUGUCCAAUCAUGACAGAGACAAGGGAAACAGCCAAGGCUACAAUAUCAGGGUGCCUCAGCUGAUGGAAAUUUCUAUCUGCAAUGAAAAUCAACUUCGGAAAACGUCACAGCAAGGGACUUUUUUUCCUGGCUGCCCCAAGAUUGAUCUGGUCCAUAGGAUGCCCCAGAUCAUUGCAUUCGGUAAUUUCAUUCUGCUUAUGAUCUAUUUCUUAUACGAUCAAUAUGAUAAAUGCGCUGGAGAGCAAAGUGGGUUACGGCCCGACGCCGGUGAAGUGAGGAGGAGAAAGGAGCACUGGGCUGCCGCGCUGUGUGUUUCAUGAAGCAGAAAAGCAAUUCAGUCAGACUAAAGGCUACAGACAAGGAGGCAUAUUCUCCUGAUAAAUGCAAAUGAUGUGACUACAUUUCCCCCAGCACAAAUGGGAUGGGGAGGGGCAAGAGGAGACCAGUCCCGCUGUCUGUAUCACAGCAUUCUCCUAGGAACCCAUAGCACAUCUGCACACAGCACAUUGGAGGUUUGAGAGCAGGAUGCGGGAGGAAAGAACGGGAGUUUGCUUAAAUAAUCAGGACUAAUGGCAAGCUCCCUCUUCCUGACUCCACUGUGACUCUGAACAUUGCUGUUUUUAAAGCACAGUACAAGAGAAUCAGGCAUCCAGUGAGCGGAGAACCACAGGGAAAUAUCGGACCGUGCGCUAAUCCAUGAGCACCCCAUCAUCUUCUCUGAGCAUCAGAGCUCCCUUGGCUUCAGGUCUUGUUAGGUAACAAUCAAUUUCACUGUCUGCAUUGUGAUUUUGUGCCAGGGCCUUCUGUUUUCCCACAUAAGCCCACAUGUCUAGCUAUCCUUGGGCCAGCCAUGGAAUUCUCUGCCUUAAAGCUGCAUCAUCUGUAAAUGGGGGUCAAUUACAUCGCUGCUGCUGCUGCUGCUGCUGCUGCUGGAAAGUAAUCUUAUGAGGAAAAAAUGCAAUAAUGUAAAUAACUUCUAAAAGUAUAUAAUGUGCUGAAAGUAUAAGGUAUUAGCUUUGGUAGGCACCAUGAAGCUCUAAAAGGAGAAGAAGAGGUCACUGCCCUUAGAUAGUUUAGAAAUUAAUAGAAAACAUGGGUCAGAUGUUUGAAAAGGAGAAGCAAGACAAAUCAACACAGAGGGAAGGGUUCUGGACUCGGAGGGGUCAGCGCUGAGUUGUAACCAGGGAUCUACCCCUCCCUCAAUGCAUGAGUUGUACAAGUUCUUUCCUUACCCUGGGCCUCAGUUUCCCCAAAGGAACAUAAGGCAGUUGGGUAAUCUAUUAAGGCCACCUCUGGCUCUGGCUUUUUGUGAAGCUUAGAUAAAUUGAGCCCUAAUAUGGAUGCAAAUGUUAACCAGUGAUCUGAGCUCCAGAAGGAGAUGAAAUAGAGCAAGAUUUUAGAAGAGGGGAAGGAAAUAUUGGCAGGAUAUUCUAAAUGUAGAAAUCAACCUUGCUAAGUCCCCAGUUUGGAGUGAGCAAGUCCCAAUCAAGCAUGUUCCAAGAGGAACCUAGGGAAACAUAGAAAGGCAAAGGGUGAGGAGGCAGGGAAGGUGACUUUUGUUCAGAGCCCUUGUCCAAGUUGAGAGAAGAUGGGGAAGAAGGAGUGGAUAUUGUCAUCGGGCUGGGUGAGAUCUUCAUAUCACAUUCAGGGGAGACUGACUGCUGCCCCCACAUCCUCCCAUCUGCAUCAAGCAGACCGUAGCUUUCAGGGCCCCUUCUCCAUGGUGGGGGUGGUUGGCAAGGUACUCUGUCACUGCACACUGCCGUUGCUCUUGUCCUUCCAGGAAAUUAAAUUUGAAGUUGCUCAGCUCUGCCAGUGCUUGAUCCCUUCCAGACACUUUCCACUCCCGCUGCAGAAAGCUUGAGGAUGGCUGGGAAAGGUGGGAGAGGAGGGAAUGCCAUGGGUGGGACUGUCAUGGAGAGAUGGAUCCCAGCAACUCUGCAUUGGUGAUUCUUUGCACGGAAGCCUAGUAUGUGGACCUCUAGUCUGUGGAGAAGGGCAGACAGAAGGCCCCUUCUAUUUUCUCAUCGAGAUGGCAGAGGCUGUGAUGAGACUGUCAUUGGGAAUAUUGAUUACAUGGCUACUGCUCCAAGGACAGGGCUGGGAACUCUGAUACAACUGACAGCCAAGCCAUUCAUGGCUCAGGUGGAAGUGGUCAGGAGAACAGCUCACCUGGACAUUUCCAAUUUGCAAAGGGACCAAGGAAAUUGUGUUCUGGCUGGGUGCAGUGGCUCCCACCUGUAAUCCCAGCACUUUGGGAGGCUGAGGUGGGUGGAUCACUUAAGGUCAGUAGUUCGAGACCAGCCUGGCCAGCAUGGUGAAAUUCUGUCUCUACUAAA
ensembl:lncRNA novel transcript